ACUUCCUUAUAAACGCUUGUUGUUUUCUUUUCUUUCAGACGCCACUACAGUUUGACUGUGUAAGUCACUUUUGCCUCUCACUCGAAGAUGGGUUCAAGCAUGUCUGCAGAGCUAAGAGCAGGACUAGGACUAGAAAUGAAAGCUUAUGAUGUAAUCAAAGACUUUGGUGGUCCAUGCAACAUUGAUCUAGAAGAAGGGCAUGUCUUUCGAAGAGACACUGACUACCCUGGAAUCUAUCACACUGGAGUAUACUGUGGAAACAAUGAAAUUAUUCAUUUUACAGGAAGUGGUACAGGAGUCAAGAGCAUGAGUACAGCAAAAGUAUUUGUGUCAAAGCAAAGUGUGAAAAUGUUCAUCAAGGACCAUAAAUACCAAAUACUGAAGAAAAAAGGAGGCAUAAACAUCCAUUCAUUUCGACGUAAGGUUAUCGAAAUGAUGGAUUACGAGAACACUUAUAAUCUGCUGGCAAACAACUGCUUUAAUUUUGUAUUCAUGCUUUUGGAUGAAAGGAACCCUGAAGAGGAGAAGAUUCAGGUUGGACAUCAGAGAAAUAUACAGGGAUGGCAGAACAAGAAGCUUUUGCAAAAAGCAAUCAACUGAUCAAUCAAUCAAUACAUCAACAUUGAUUUUGAAAUAUAAUGACAAUGACUGAGAACAGUGCUGAAGAUCUGGAUCGAAUUUUCUUGCAAAGUGCCAACAGAGUAUUCAUUGCUAAUACCAAUGACUGAAUUAUGUUCUGCUGUGCAUUUGUUAUUUUGAUAAUAAAGGUAUUCAGGUUAAGGGAGGGGUUGGAUUGGCUUAGUGAAAGGCACGUAAGGAAAUUCAAUUCGAAAACUGUGACGUGCUGUUAAAUUAAUAAUGAAUCUGUUUUUACCUUAUAUUUAAAUCAAUCUAUAGCAUUGCGUUGUUUUUGUCAACAUUUCAAAUGUUAUUACUUUUCAGCAAACCUGAAAAAAAAUGGACCACAGCACUAUCGUCUGUGUAAAUAAAUGGAUUUUUGUGUGUGAAGCUUGUAUUCUGUACUAUGGUAUAUAAACUGUUGUUUAUAUUGAAUGUAUUUCCAAUGGUGAUUUAGGCCUACCUAAAUAAAGACCCCUCGGCACGUAGAAGUUGAAUGUUUCCUACCAAAAAAACUUUUGAGAUAUUAUUUGUGGCUGUUAUUACGAAAAAAGUGGAGUCAAACAAGGGUGGCACUUUAAUGAGACAAAAAACAUCAGACAAUGAAAUGGGUUCAAGUGAAGGUGGCAGACUAGGAAGUGGUAUUUCUGAUGGUAGAGCAAGCCACAGUGAUUUCCCUGACAUAGCUGCAGGUGGAAAUGAGGGCGGCACCAGUGUUCAAAAUGAAAGUACAUCUCCAGAUGAGGUGUUUUGGCAAAUUAACUCUUCAGAAACUGUCCCCAGCUAUGGAAAAGGGUCUGGUUCCUCAAAGAAGGAAAUAUUUAGGACCAAACAAAGAAAAUUAAAAAAAAAAACGGAAAUUGGUGGAAAUGCAGCUUGUACAAACUUACAUAGAAAAAACAACAUUGAAAACUUACACGAUUAAUAACAAACUACACAGCAUUUACAGGUACCUUACAGCUCAUAAGUGCUACGUGUUUUGUGAUAAGAGCCGUGAGAAGAAUGUCAUUCUAACAACUGAGACAGCAUCCGUGUUGAAAAAAUCAAGGGGGUUUAUAAAAUCUUGUGCCUUCAGACUGCAGUACAACAUGGGAGUGCUUGGAAACAUUGCUAGAACUGAUGUGCUGCUUGAUGACACUAAGGAGUUUGUGAUUAAGCACCCAUAUCGCAAGUUAAUUUUCCUAAUGUUUAUCGAUUACUUUGAGAAGUUUGUUAAGGAUGUACUCGUCCCUGUUCUUGCACUAUUUUUAGAAGUUCAGAAGAAAAACUUGUUGAAAAUGGAAGCUGAGUAGGCUGUAGAAACAACAGGCCCACUGUCUCUACUGUUACCAUGGUUUUAAAGAUAAAGUGCUGUUCAAUUCAGCAAAUGCGUUUUCACAUACUGUUAACAUCCUGACACUAUGGAAACAUGCAACCCAAUCAAUAACAACACAGUGAAUUGAAAUCAUUAUAAAUCAUGUGUAAGAAAUUAACAAGUCACAGCAACUGAUACAAACGUGUUGAUUUGAUUGUGUGUUUGAGACAAACUUUGCAUAAAAACUGUAGUACUGAGUUAACUGUUCAAAACCAACUGAUUUUGUGUCAUGUGUACGUAGUUUUACAAAGUUAAGACACAGAAAAUGUUUUCUGUGGUGAAUGAAGGAAUGCUUACUUUUCUGAAGCUUAAUUGUCUCUCCAUUUGCUUUAUGGUGUUUGGGAUGUAACUAGUGAUUGUAUAGUUGCUUGUAAGUGUGAGCAACAAUAUUUACUUGAUUAAACUUGCAAAUAUAAUCAAUGAGACGGACUAAUAUUAUUAGAAAUAAUGCUGUGUGGUCACUGUAUUUG